UAAAAACUUUGACAUUUCUGGAUUACCUAAAAACUUAUUUUUCACAAAAAAUAAAGAAAUGUACAAGAAUUUGAUUCCCUAAGCUAUUUUCAACAUAUUGGUAGCAACCUUUUCAAGCAUGGUAUUGGCAAUAUUGUAACUUGUCUUAUUUGAAAUGUUUUGAUUGAUCGAUCUUAUUGUAUUCUAUUUUGGAAUAUCAAAGAUUUCCUUCCCCCAAGAAAAUUUGUGUCAAAAAGCAGUAUUUGACAAAAAAGUCACAUGCAACAUUUUGGAAGCCCAGCGACAAUAACCUAUAAUGAUUGAAAACAUGUACCAUGUGUGUAUACUAUUGUUAGUAGGUAUUAAUUUUCCUGAUUUAAUUGAAGAAUGUGAAAUAUUUUUUCCCAUAUUUCUAAUUCAGAGUUGCUAUGUGUGAAAUCCAUGUCAAGUUAGUACUUUUAUCCCACA
rnacentral:lncRNA from 1 species